rnacentral:rRNA from 1 species
UGGGGAAUAUUGCACAAUGGGGGAAACCCUGAUGCAGCAACCCCCCGUGAAGGAAGAAGGCCUUUGGGUCGUAAACUUCUGUCCUAAGGGAAGAUAAUGACGGUACCUUUGGAGGAAGCCCCGGCUAACUACGUGCCAGCAGCCGCGGUAAUACGUAGGGGGCGAGCGUUAUCCGGAAUUAUUGGGCGUAAAGGGCUCGUAGGCGGUUCGUCGCGUCCGGUGUGAAAGUCCAUCGCUUAACGGUGGAUCUGCGCCGGGUACGGGCGGGCUGGAGUGCGGUAGGGGAGACUGGAAUUCCCGGUGUAACGGUGGAAUGUGUAGAUAUCGGGAAGAACACCAAUGGCGAAGGCAGGUCUCUGGGCCGUUACUGACGCUGAGGAGCGAAAGCGUGGGGAGCGAACAGGAUUAGAUACCCUGGUAGUCCACGCCGUAAACGGUGGAUGCUGGAUGUGGGGCCCGUUCCACGGGUUCCGUGUCGGAGCUAACGCGUUAAGCAUCCCGCCUGGGGAGUACGGCCGCAAGGCUAAAACUCAAAGAAAUUGACGGGGGCCCGCACAAGCGGCGGAGCAUGCGGAUUAAUUCGAUGCAACGCGAAGAACCUUACCUGGGCUUGACAUGUUCCCGACAGCCGUAGAGAUGCGGCCUCCCUUCGGGGCGGGUUCACAGGUGGUGCAUGGUCGUCGUCAGCUCGUGUCGUGAGAUGUUGGGUUAAGUCCCGCAACGAGCGCAACCCUCGCCCUGUGUUGCCAGCACGUCAUGGUGGGAACUCACGGGGGACCGCCGGGGUCAACUCGGAGGAAGGUGGGGAUGACGUCAGAUCAUCAUGCCCCUUACGUCCAGGGCUUCACGCAUGCUACAAUGGCCGGUACAACGGGAUGCGACAUGGCGACAUGGAGCGGAUCCCUGAAAACCGGUCUCAGUUCGGAUUGGAGUCUGCAACCCGACUCCAUGAAGGCGGAGUCGCUAGUAAUCGCGGAUCGGCAACGCCGCGGUGAAUGCGUUCCC